rfam:Leersia perrieri chromosome 2, whole genome shotgun sequence.
GCAACAAGAGCCACUCCGGAUAGCCAAGGAAGACAUGCCUUAAUGCCUAUGCUAUCAACUCAGGAUCGUCCUAUAAUUGACAGGCUUGAUCAAGAGGAUGAAAAUGCAGUGCAUGGCCAUGAGCAUAAAACCUGCACAUAGGCAAGUCAUCCUUGGCUACCGAAUAAGCUCUGGUCC